CCCGCCGCCAUGGCCCGGGCUCCCGCCUCCGCCCCGGCGCCCCCACCGUGGCCGGACUCCCGGCGUGCCCCGCGCGGGGGGGGCCCCUCCCAGCCCCCCCCGCGCCCCGGGACCCCCCCCCAAACCCCCCUCCGCACCCCCAUGACCCCUCGGCCGCCGGGACCCCCCUCCCGCCCGCUUCCACCCCGUCCCCCGCUCUCCCGGAGGUCGCCGAGCCCCCACCGGGGCUCCCCGAAACGGCCGCGGGCCCCCCCGGGGACCCCGAGAGUCCCGCGCCCCCCGGGGUGGGCGGGGGUCCCGGCGGGUUCUUUUCGCCGACGCUCUGGGGCUGCCCCUGACCCGCCUGCGGCAAUACCGGCCCUGGGACCCCCGGGGGAGGGGGGCACCGGCGGGGGGGGGGCCCCCGGUAGGGGGGGAGGGGGGCGCGGUGGGAGAGCCGCCCCCCCCGGGAUCUGGAUGAGGCCUGGGAAGGGCAGGUAAGAGACGGGGGGAGGGGAAAUCUGCAUGGGGGACCCCCAAAAUGGGGUCAACCCCCGACCUCCCCCCCCCCCGCAUGUGCCCCCCGAAAUUGAGGGGGGGGGCUGUGGCGCAUGUCUGGGUUCCCCCCGGACCCCCAAAUGUGGGUCACACUCUGGGGGGGUGCAGAUGCUGUUCCCCCACCCCUAAUUUGGGGAUCCUGGUCGGUGACCCCCCCACACCCGUGUCCCCCCAAAAGGCCACAGGAGGCGGAGGAUGUGCAGCCCCCACCCCCCGAGCACAGCACAGGUAAGUAUCGCUCCCCCAAAUUUGGGGGUGCACCCCAAUUACUGGGGCACCCUCCAAUUUUGGGGAUCCCCCCGAACUUUGGGGGGGGGGGUCCCUCAUCCCCUCCCCUUCCCCCUCGCACAGAGCCUGACCCUGCCCCAACGCCCCCCCCGGAUGCGGAGCAGCCCCCAGCACAGGGCGCCGAGGACGAGGCGGUGGCGCGGGAGCUGGAGCAGCUCUACCUGUCCCACCUGCGCCGGCUGCGGGGGGACCCCGGCCACAGCGACGACCCCCCCCCGAGAAACGGGGACCCCCCGUUCCCCGAGCGAGCCCCCAACACCUCUCUGGCCAACGAGAUGGCCCUGCGCUACGAGGGCGGGGGUCGCUGCAGCCCCCCGGUGCUGCUGGGGAGGGGGGGGCCGGUGGAGGGGGCGCUGGUGGUGCCGGCGCGGCCCCCCCGGGGCAGGGGCAGCAGUUUGGGGGGGGCCCUCAGGGGGUGCGGGGUGGUUUUGGCUUUGGCCGUGCUGGUCCCGGUGGCCUGGGGGGACGGGGGGGGCCCCACGGCCGCGCUGGCCCUGGGGCUUUACCUGGCGCUGGCCUGGCUCACGUGAGGGGGGUUUGGGGGGGGGAGCCCCAAAUUGUCACCACCCAAAAAAUUGUCACCUCCCAAAAAGUCACAGCACAUCACCCCCCCCCCAUUUUACCUUUGGAAACGUGGGACACCCCUAAAUCAGUGGGGGGAAGGGGGGCACUGAGUUGCGGCGUGGGGAGAUGGAAGGGCACCCCCAAAUGAAAGGGGCACCCCCAAAUGAAAGGGGCACCCCCAAAUGGAAGGGGACCCUCAAAUUUCCCCCCCCCCCCUUCCUCAGGGGUGGAGGCACUGUCACUUUGUGGGACCCCCCCCCUCCCAAGUCAUGUGCACCCCACCCGGGUUUUGGGGCGCCCCUGUGUACAUACAGCCAUGGAACGAUGGUGUCCCCGAGUUCUUGUCGUGGGGGUUGAAUUUUGGGGCGGGGGGGGGUAAGGGAGGGUUGUGUGUCUGUGUUUAGGGGGUGGGGGCCGGGUCCCCCCCCUCUGCUGUCGCUGUCGCAGCCAUUUCCUGCCCUCGGGGAAGGUCCCAGCAAAGGUCACGGCCCGCGGUGACAAACAGCCCCCCCAGGCCCCCGGGGAUGGGGCAGGCUCACCUGUGGCUGUCGUGUCGUGGGCGCCAUGUCGUGACAGAAGGGUCUGUCACCCCCUGGGGGCAGCCGGGGGGGGUCCCGAGUGUCCUUGAAGCAGCUGGGGGGGGCCGGGUCCUGAGCCCCUUUGGAGAAUUGGGGUGUCCUGAGUGUCCUGGGAGCAGUUGGGGUGGGGUCUUGAGCCCCCUUGAAGAACUGGGGUGGUCCUGAGUAUCCUGGAACAUUUGGGGAGGGGGUCUUGAGUAUCCUGAGAGCAGCUGGGGUGGGGGUCUUGAGCCCCCUUGAAGAACUGGGGUGGUCCUGAGUAUCCUGGGAGCAACUGGGGGGGUCUUGAUCCCCACAGGAUGAAGUGGGGAGUGGUCCUAAGGCCCCCUGGAAGCAUUUGGGGGGUCCCGAGUGUCCUGGGAGCAUCUGGGGGGUGGUCCUGAGCCUCCUGGAGGUGGCCGGGAGGGGGUCCCCAGCCCCCAGUGAAGCUGCUGAGAGCAUUCUCGGUCCUCGGGGAGGGUCCUGGAUCCAGCCGAAGGAGGGUCCUGUGCCCUCAGGUGACAUUGGGGUGGUUCCAUCUCCUCAGGACUCACUGUGGGGAGCGUCCCAGUGGUUCUGGUGACAGGGGAACACUCCCAGCAGGGAGUGACAGCAGCGGUGUCACAUUUGUGGUGGAGGGGUGGCAUCCUCCCUGGGGGUGCUGCUCCCUCCGCAGUCCCUGAGCCCACUGGGUGACAGUGUUGUGUGCGUGGGAGGGGGUCCCAGCCCUCCUGGAGCCACAGUGUGGGUGGUGGUCCUGUCCCUCAGCCCCUCAGGUGACAGCAGGGUGGCGGAAAACACAGCCCUUCUGAAGUCACUAUUGGGGGGGUCUCAGACCCUCUGGACUCACUGUGGAGGUAUCCUUGGUCAUCUCCGGAUGUUCUGCUCCCCUUGUAGUCCCUCAGUCCUUUGGGUGACAUCGUGUUGGGGGUCACAGCUCCUCUGGACUCAAUGUGGGGGUGUCCUCAUCAUCCUUGGUCGUCUCCAGAUGUUCUGCUCCCUUUGUAGUCCCUCAGUCCUUUGGGUGACAUCGUGUGGGGGGUCGUGGCUCCUCUGGAGUCACAGAAGGGGACCUGCCAGCACCCAGGGGUCCUCAGCCCCUCAGGGAAUGGUGGGGGGGCGGCAGCAGCCCCUCUGAAGUCACUGCAGGAGCGUCCCAGCUCUCUAAUAUACACUGGAAGGGGGAGGAAAUCCUGUCCCAUCCAAGGGUGUCCUGCCCACCCUCACGGCCCCUCAGCCCCUGAGGAUGGGGUCCCAGUCCCUCAGGUGACAGUGCUGGCGGGACCCGUCCCCUCACGCACCCUCAGCCCCUGAGGAGGGGGUCCCAGUCCCUCAGGUGACAGUGCUGGCGGGAUCAAGGAGGGUCCCGCUGCCCUCAGCCCCUGAGGAAGGGGUCCCAGUCCCUCAGGUGACAGUGCAGGCGGGACCCGUCCCCUCAGGCGCCCUCAGCCCCUCACGGCGGGAGGGGGGCGUGGCCUCUCCCUCACGGCGGGGCUCUCGCGCCGCCCGCACGUGCGCUCCUCGCGCUGCGCAUGAGCGCUGCUCCCCGGCCCCGCCCACCGCGCUCCCGGAGCCCGCCAAAGCGCCGCGCUCCUAUUGGCCGCCCUUUUCCCGCCCGCCCCGCGUGACCGUGGCGUCGCCAUGGCAACCGGCCAAUGGGGCAGCGCGCGAGUGACGAGAGGGUGGGCGGGGCUUCGGCGGCGGCGGCGGCGCGCGCGGUUUUUCGGCCCUGG
rnacentral:lncRNA from 1 species